rnacentral:rRNA from 1 species
AUUGAACGCUGGCGGCAGGCCUAACACAUGCAAGUCGAGCGGAUGAAGGGAGCUUGCUCCUGGAUUCAGCGGCGGACGGGUGAGUAAUGCCUAGGAAUCUGCCUGGUAGUGGGGGAUAACGUCCGGAAACGGGCGCUAAUACCGCAUACGUCCUGAGGGAGAAAGUGGGGGAUCUUCGGACCUCACGCUAUCAGAUGAGCCUAGGUCGGAUUAGCUAGUUGGUGGGGUAAAGGCCUACCAAGGCGACGAUCCGUAACUGGUCUGAGAGGAUGAUCAGUCACACUGGAACUGAGACACGGUCCAGACUCCUACGGGAGGCAGCAGUGGGGAAUAUUGGACAAUGGGCGAAAGACUGAUCCAGCCAUGCCGCGUGUGAAGAAGGUCUUCGGAUUGUAAAGCACUUUAAGUUGGGAGGAAGGGCAGUAAGUUAAUACCUUGCUGUUUUGACGUUACCAACAGAAUACGCACCGGCUAACUUCGUG